UAGUGGAUCAGGAGGAUCCGAAAUGAA
rnacentral:sRNA from 1 species